rnacentral:rRNA from 1 species
AUACGUAGGGGGAAAGCGUUAUCCGGAUUUACUGGGUGUAAAGGGAGCGUAGACGGCACUGCAAGUCUGGAGUGAAAGCCCGGGGCUCAACCCCGGGACUGCUUUGGACACUGUGGUGCUAGAGUGCAGGAGAGGUAAGUGGAAUUCCUAGUGUAGCGGUGAAAUGCGUAGAUAUUAGGAGGAACACCAGUGGCGAAGGCGGCUUACUGGACUGUAACUGACGUUGAGGCUCGAAAGCGUGGGGAGCAAACAGGAUUAGAUCCCCUGGUAGUCCACGCCGUAAACGAUGAAUACUAGGUGUUGGGGAGCAAAGCUCUUCGGUGCCGCCGCUAACGCAAUAAGUAUUCCACCUGGGGAGUACGUUCGCAAGAAUGAAACUCAAAGGAAUUGACGGGG